rnacentral:rRNA from 1 species
UAGGGAAUAUUGGUCAAUGGGUGAGAGCCUGAACCAGCCAUGCCGCGUGCAGGAAGACGGCCUUCUGGGUUGUAAACUGCUUUUAUCUGGGGAUAAAAAGCCCAUGCGUGGGACAUUGAAGGUACCAGAUGAAUAAGCACCGGCUAACUACGUGCCAGCAGCCGCGGUAAUACGUAGGGUGCAAGCGUUGUCCGGAUUUAUUGGGUUUAAAGGGUGCGUAGGCGGUCUAUUAAGUCAGUGGUGAAAUCCAACAGCUCAACUGUUGAUGUGCCAAUGAUACUGAUGGACUUGAGUACAGACGAGGUAGGCGGAAUUGACAGUGUAGCGGUGAAAUGCAUAGAUAUUGUCAAGAACACCGAUAGCGAAGGCAGCUUGCUAGCCUGUAACUGACGCUGAGGCACGAAAGUAUGGGGAUCAAACAGGAUUAGAUACCCUGGUAGUCCAUACAGUAAACGAUGAUUACUCGAUGUUGGCGAUACACAGUCAGCGUCUUAGCGAAAGCGAUAAGUAAU